UGUCUGAUUUUAUGCGAUGAUAUACCGGA
rnacentral:sRNA from 1 species